rnacentral:rRNA from 1 species
AUGAACGUUGGCGGCGUGGAUUAGGCAUGCAAGUCGAACGGACCGGUGUAGCAAUACAACGGUUAGUGGCGAAAGGGAGAGUAACGCGUAGGUAUGUGCCCCCGGGUUCGGGAUAGCGGCGGGAAACUGCCGGUAAUACCGAAUAAUGUCUCCGGACCAAAGGUGUGAUUCCACCUGGGGAGCGGCCUGCGUCCUAUUAGGUAGUUGGUGAGGUAACGGCCCACCAAGCCGAAGAUGGGUACUGGGUGUGAGAGCACGACCCAGCUCACUGGGACUGAGACACUGCCCAGACACCUACGGGUGGCUGCAGUCGAGAAUCUUCCGCAAUGGACGAAAGUCUGACGGAGCGACGCCGCGUGCGGGAUUAAGGCCUUCGGGUUGUAAACCGCUGUCAGAGAGGCGGAAAUGCGUCGGGGUUCUCCCCGGCGUUUGACCUAUUCUCAGAGGAAGUCCGGGCUAAGUACGU